AGGGAAUCUUCCGCAAUGGACGAAAGUCUGACGGAGCAACGCCGCGUGAGUGAUGAAGGUUUUCGGAUCGUAAAACUCUGUUGUUAGGGAAGAACAAGUACGAGAGUAACUGCUCGUACCUUGACGGUACCUAACCAGAAAGCCACGGCUAACUACGUGCCAGCAGCCGCGGUAAUACGUAGGUGGCAAGCGUUGUCCGGAAUUAUUGGGCGUAAAGCGCGCGCAGGCGGUCUUUUAAGUCGGAUGUGAAAGCCCACGGCUCAACCGUGGAGGGUCAUUGGAAACUGGGAGACUUGAGUGCAGAGGAGAAGAGUGGAAUUCCAUGUGUAGCGGUGAAAUGCGUAGAGAUAUGGAGGAACACCAGUGGCGAAGGCGACUCUUUGGUCUGUAACUGACGCUGAGGCGCGAAAGCGUGGGGAGCAAAC
rnacentral:rRNA from 1 species